rnacentral:rRNA from 1 species
CAAGUCGAGCGGAUGUAAGGGAGCUUGCUCCUGGAUUCAGCGGCGGACGGGUGAGUAAUGCCUAGGAAUCUGCCUGGUAGUGGGGGAUAACGUCCGGAAACGGGCGCUAAUACCGCAUACGUCCUGAGGGAGAAAGUGGGGGAUCUUCGGACCUCACGCUAUCAGAUGAGCCUAGGUCGGAUUAGCUAGUUGGUGGGGUAAAGGCCUACCAAGGCGACGAUCCGUAACUGGUCUGAGAGGAUGAUCAGUCACACUGGAACUGAGACACGGUCCAGACUCCUACGGGAGGCAGCAGUGGGGAAUAUUGGACAAUGGGCGAAAGCCUGAUCCAGCCAUGCCGCGUGUGUGAAGAAGGUCUUCGGAUUGUAAAGCACUUUAAGUUGGGAGGAAGGGCAGUAAGUUAAUACCUUGCUGUUUUGACGUUACCAACAGAAUAAGCACCGGCUAACUUCGUGCCAGCAGCCGCGGUAAUACGAAGGGUGCAAGCGUUAAUCGGAAUUACU